UCUCUCCAGUGAUCAUAGAUAACACAAACCUCCAAGCGUGGGAAAUGAAGCCAUAUGUUGCUUUGUCUCAAAAGCAUAAAUAUAAAGUCCUUUUCCGGGAACCGGACACAUGGUGGAAGUUCAAACCGAAGGAGCUUGCAAGACGCAAUAUUCAUGGAGUAAGCAAAGAGAAAAUAUCAAGAAUGCUGGAGCACUAUCAGCGUUUUGUUUCUGUGCCAAUAAUUAUGAGUUCUUCAGAUCCAGAGAAAACCGAGCGGAUUGAGUUGUGUGCAUAUGCUUGUGAGGACAGAAAU
rnacentral:lncRNA from 1 species